CGAGUGAAUUGAGUGGUCGCGGGUAUAAGGCGAAAGCCUGUGCGCGAGGAAAGUCCGGGCUCCACAGGGCAAGGAUAACGGGUAACACCCGCCAGGGGCGACCCUCGGACAAGUGCAACAGAGAUAUACCGCCACAUUUUUUUGUGGUAAGGGUGGAAAGGCGAGGUAAGAGCUCACCCAUCUUCCGGAGACGGAACGAUGCUGUAAACUCUAUCCGGAGCAACACCGCGGAGGGACUUAUGAUCUGCCCGAUCGUCCCGAGGAGGUGGCUUGAGCCUGUCGGCAACGGCAGGCCUAGACUGAUGACUGCUUUAAACAGAAUCCGGCUUACAGAUUCACUCGCAUU
rnacentral:RNase_P_RNA from 1 species